UUCCCGUGAUGAGGACAUGCGGCAUUGUAAUCCUGCAGCCUUUCCCAUGCUUCAGGAAUGGACUCAUCCCUUGUCUGCUGGAAGCUUGAGAUUCUCUCGCGAAGUG
rnacentral:snoRNA from 1 species